rnacentral:rRNA from 1 species
AUUGAACGCUGGCGGCAGGCCUAACACAUGCAAGUCGAGCGGAUGACAGGAGCUUGCUCCUGAAUUCAGCGGCGGACGGGUGAGUAAUGCCUAGGAAUCUGCCUGGUAGUGGGGGACAACGUUUCGAAAGGAACGCUAAUACCGCAUACGUCCUACGGGAGAAAGCAGGGGACCUUCGGGCCUUGCGCUAUCAGAUGAGCCUAGGUCGGAUUAGCUAGUUGGUGAGGUAAUGGCUCACCAAGGCGACGAUCCGUAACUGGUCUGAGAGGAUGAUCAGUCACACUGGAACUGAGACACGGUCCAGACUCGUACGGGAGGCAGCAGUGGGGAAUAUUGGACAAUGGGCGAAAGCCUGAUCCAGCCAUGCCGCGUGUGUGAAGAAGGUCUUCGGAUUGUAAAGCACUUUAAGUUGGGAGGAAGGGCAUUAACCUAAUACGUUAGUGUUUUGACGUUACCGACAGAAUAAGCAC